CAAUCAUUGAAUUUCAACAACAUUGAUGCCACAAUAACCUUAAAAUUGCUUGGGAACUUUCUUUAUCUCUUCUUCACCAGCACUGCUCUUGGUGUAGUAGUGAGUCUGCUAAGUGCUUUUGUCAUAAAAACACUAUACUUUGGAAGGCAUUCCACUGAUCGUGAAGUUGCACUUAUGAUGCUUAUGGCUUAUUUAUCAUACCUGCUGGCUGAGCUUUUAAAUCUCAGUGGGAUUUUGACAGUUUUCUUCUGUGGCAUUGUAAUGUCACACUACACAUGGCACAAUGUUACUGAAAGCUCUCGGA
rnacentral:misc_RNA from 1 species